UGAAGUAAACUUUUCAUCUCAAGGAUUUGGUCAGCCCUCUAAUAUUUCUUCCCGACCUGUUAUAGUUCAUUUGGAUGAUUUUUCUCUCAGUUAACAUGCAGCACAGUCAUUUGAUCAAUCUUAGGGUGCAUCCAUGAGUCCUCAAUUUGAUUUUGAUGGCUUCCAGUCUCCUUCCACUGUUGAUAUUGGUUCUAGUUCACAACCUGCUCAAGUGUUUACACAGGAUCAUCCUAUUGGUUCUUCCAGCUCAGUUGCUACUCUUUCCAACACUCCCCACAUGUUGCCUGUCCAUUCUGACCCACAUUUAGCAGUGAUGUUGCCUUCUGGUGAUAGAGAUUUACAUGUUACUCAGAGCAUUCAAACUAGGCUUCGAACUGGUGCCAUUACUUGAAAUGAUUAUUUAGCAUUGAUAGCUAUAUUUCCUGAAGUCACGUCUCUUAUUUUAGAUAAAGAUUAUUCUUUUUCUGGCGAAUUCACUUUUAUUGCAGAUAUCAUUGAUUCUGCAGAGCCUUCAACUUUUAAGACAGCUUCUCAAAUUCCUCAGUGUCAUGUAGCUAUGCAAGAAGAGUAUGAUGCCCUUCAAACACAAGUGGGAUUGAUAUUAAAGGAUAUAGUGAUUCGGAUUGGGCUGCAGAUGUGAACACCAGGAGAUCUAUUACAGGAUAUGUUGUUUAUCUUGGUGAUAAUCAUGUUUCCUGGCACUCCAAGAAACAAAGUUCCGUGUCCCGAAGUUCCACUGAAGCUGAAUAUAAAGCCCUUGCACAUGCUGCUGUGGAUAUAGCUUGGAUUCGACUUCUGCUUAAAGAUAUGUGUGCUACUAUUCCUAAUCCUCCCCUGUUAUUGUGUGAUAAUUAGUCUGCCAUAGCCUUAAGCAUGAAUCAUAUUCAUCAUUCAAGGAUCAAGCAUUUGGAAACUGACUUUCAUUUUGUUCGAGAAUGGGUGCAAAAGGGUGAUCUUGAUGUUCAAUAUGUGCCUACACAGGAUCAAGUGGCUGACAUCCUUACAAAAGGACUUCAUGGUCUUGAUUUUCUCAAACAUUGUCACAAUCUUAAUCUAGCACAUUCUGGUUAAAAUUGAGGGGGGAUAUUGGAUAUACAUGCCACGUAGGCAAUUGCCAUGUCAACGAUAGCUUUAGAAUUAAGUAGUCUUCGAAAUACCUUGUAUAAAUAUAUUUUCCCUCUCUCAUUUGUAGCCAGUUGGAUAUGUUGUAAUAAACACUUUCUCUCUAAAGGAUUUUCUGAGCUCUUUCUUCUCACA